AGCCAGACUCCUACGGGAGGCAGCAGUGAGGAAUAUUGGUCAAUGGCCGGAAGGCUGAACCAGCCAAGUCGCGUGAGGGACGACUGCCCUAUGGGUUGUAAACCUCUUUUAUAAGGGAAGAAUAAAUGCUACGUGUAGCAUGAUGCCUGUACCUUAUGAAUAAGCAUCGGCUAACUCCGUGCCAGCAGCCGCGGUAAUACGGAGGAUGCGAGCGUUAUCCGGAUUUAUUGGGUUUAAAGGGUGCGUAGGCGGUUUGAAAAGGAGGGGGAAAAACUCCGGGGCCAACCCCGGUCCCGCCGUUGAAACUGGCGAACUCGAGAGGGAGAGAAGUAGGCGGAAUGCGCAGUGUAGCGGUGAAAUGCAUAGAUAUCACGCAGAACCCCGAUUGCGAAGGCAGCCUUCCGGCGCCCUACUGACGCUGAGGCACGAAAGUGCGGGGAUCGAACAGGAUUAGAUACCCCUGUA
rnacentral:rRNA from 1 species